UACGUAGGGGGGCAAGCGUUGUCCGGAAUCAUUGGGCGUAAAGCGCGUGUAGGCGGCUGAGUAAGUCUGCUCUGAAAGCCCGGGGCUCAACCCCGGGAGGCGGGUGGAUACUGCUCAGCUCGAGUCCGGAAGAGGAGUGUGGAAUUCCUGGUGUAGCGGUGAAAUGCGCAGAUAUCAGGAGGAACACCAAUGGCGAAGGCAGCACUCUGGGACGGUACUGACGCUGAGACGCGAAAGCGUGGGGAGCAAACAGG
rnacentral:rRNA from 1 species